rnacentral:rRNA from 1 species
UACGGGGGGAGCAAGCGUUGUUCGGAUUUACUGGGCGUAAAGCGCGUGUAGGCGGUCCGGUAAGUCCGCUGUGAAAGUCGGGGGCUCAACCCUCGGAUGCCGGUGGAUACUGUCGGGCUUGAGUACGGAAGAGGCGAGUGGAAUUCCUGGUGUAGCGGUGAAAUGCGCAGAUAUCAGGAGGAACACCAAUUGCGAAGGCAGCUCGCUGGGACGUUACUGACGCUGAGACGCGAAAGCGUGGGGAGCAAACAGG